UACGGAGGGUGCAAGCGUUGUCCGGAUUUAUUGGGUUUAAAGGGUGCGUAGGCGGCCCGUUAAGUCAGUGGUGAAAGCCUCCAGCUCAACUGGAGAACUGCCAUUGAUACUGACGGGCUUGAGUACAGACGAGGUUGGCGGAAUUGAUUGUGUAGCGGUGAAAUGCAUAGAUACAAUCAAGAACUCCGAUUGCGUAGGCAGCUAACUAGGCUGUAACUGACGCUGAGUCACGAAAGCGUGGGGAGCGAACAGG
rnacentral:rRNA from 1 species